rnacentral:rRNA from 1 species
GUAGGAGGCGAGCGUUGUCCGGAUUCAUUGGGCGUAAAGAGCACGCAGGCGGUUUGGCAAGUCGGACGUGAAAAUCCGGGGCUCAACCCCGGACCUGCAUCCGAAACUGCCCGACUAGAGGUAGGUAGGGGAGAUCGGAAUUCCUGGUGUAGCGGUGAAAUGCGCAGAUAUCAGGAGGAACACCGGUGGCGAAGGCGGAUCUCUGGGCCUUACCUGACGCUCAGGUGCGAAAGCUAGGGGAGCGAACAGGAUUAGAUACCCUGGUAGUCCUAGCCGUAAACGUUGGGUGCUAGGUGUGGGCGGAUAUCAACCCCGUCCGUGCCGAAGCUAACGCAUUAAGCACCCCGCCUGGGGAGUACGGCCGCAAGGCUA